rnacentral:rRNA from 1 species
UACGGGGGGAGCAAGCGUUGUUCGGAUUUACUGGGCGUAAAGGGCGCGUAGGCGGUCGUGACAAGUCACUUGUGAAAUCUCCGGGCUUAACUCGGAACGGUCAAGUGAUACUGUCGUGCUAGAGUACAGAAGGGGCAACUGGAAUUCUCGGUGUAGCGGUGAAAUGCGUAGAUAUCGAGAGGAACACCUGCGGCGAAGGCGGGUUGCUGGGCUGGAUACUGACGCUGAGGCGCGAAAGCUAGGGGAGCGAACGGG